AAAUAUAUUAGUGGAACUAAGUAAAUUAUUAUUUUGAUUUAAUUUUUUAAAUAGAGAGUUAAGAGUAAAAUCUUUAAAUUUUUAAAUGAAAAAUUAUAAGGAAAUAUGAUAAUCUUUAAAAAUAAGGUUUUAGACUAGGAUUAGAUACCCUAUUAUUCUUUAUUAAAUUAGUUGCUUGGGUAGUAAAGAUUUUUAAACCUAAAGAAUUUGGCGGUACUUCAUUCUUACUAGAGGAACCUGCUCCUGGAUCGAUAAUCCACGUUUUAAUGUACAUGAAUUUGUUUUCAGUUUGUAUACCGCCGUUGUCUGAUUAUUUUUAAAGAAUAUAAUCUAACUAGUUGUUAUACUAGGACUUCAGGUCAAGGUGCAGCUUAUGUUUAUGGGGGUAGUGGGUUACAAUAAAUUAAAUUUACACGGAUCAAAGCGGGUAAGCAUUUUAUGAAGGUGGAUUUAGUAGUAAAUUAAUAAUAGGAUUUUUAAUUGAAGUGGGCUCUGAAGUGUGUACACAUCGCCCGUCGCUCUCUCCUUAAGGAGAGAUA
rnacentral:rRNA from 1 species